UAAAUCCUUAAAUCUGGAAAAAUCUGAGAACCUCAUCGUCUUCAAUUCUUGCUUGUAAAAGAAAUAUCAGACGAUCAUUGCGGGAAAGGACGAUCUCAAGGAAUGGACUGCUACAAAUGUAAUAGAAACUCACAUAAAUUGACUGGCAAGAGACACAAGGUCUGCACUCUUUGAUUCCUACAGGGAUGGACUGACUGGUAGAUGCACUCUAAGUCUAAGUUAUCAGGAUAACCCACUCUAAGUGAACCUGAUGAUCAACUUGGAGAAAGCAACUUCACCGCUAAUUGAUGUCAAACAACUGUAAGCUCUGUAUGAUGUCAUCAGGGACUUUCCUGAUGUGACAUCAUUCUUCAAUAUCAAUCUGAGCAGUUUAGCGUGUGAUGCCAGGAGAUGAAUUAGAUGUGGAUGGAACAAUUCUUGCUCAUUGAUGAUUGUCUGCAACUGCCUCUUCUAGUCAACACUAAAGCUUCAAGGCAAUGGGGUCUAGUCCAUGUACUAGAAUGGUAUCAAAUAGCAAAUCCAUGUCAAUCAUGAGUUACUCACCAGUCCAACUUGUGAAUAACAAUUCUCUCUCCAUUAAAAACCAGUAGUUGAAGACUGUUUGAGAUAUAUGAGUUAUUCACCACUCAAACAUGGAAACAACAAGGCUUGGAAUCAAGGCUCAUGGAUUAUUUCCAUCCUAUAUCAUGUGAUGUCAACACUUUGAAAUCAAUGAAUAUUUGAAGGCACAACUCUUAGCAUCUCCCAUAUACUUCAUUAGAUUCUCAUUGACAUGGAUUUGCUUGACAUUGGUUUCAAUUGAACAAAUAAAAUAUCACAUAAAUAAAUACAAAAAUCAAAUUCAUGCCAGGCACAUGGUAGGAAAGGCCUUUUGUUUAACCCAGAUACACUGUAAGUAACGUGAAGUCAAAAGGUGAUCAUCUUU